CAGUCGUACCGGCGGAUAAUCAGCCUUUCGGGUGCGAUUCUGUGGGGCGUGAGGAGCUUAACCGCCUUCAUGUUUUGCAUAUUCGUGCACAUUUGGUGUACUUGUCCGUGUGGUGGGUUAACAUCAAUUUCGGUCGUCAUAAAAUGAUUAGAGGAAUGUAGCUUUGGUCUCGUAUCGAAGUGUUAUAGACUCUGGUAGAUGUGGUGAUUGGGACUGAGGAUUGCAACGGAUACCCCUUCGGGGCUACCCGUCUGAUCUCUGAAGGUUGCUCCGGUGCCGAAAGCGUGCUUACGGUCAUCGAAAGUGAUUUUCAAAAGGUUAGAACGGGUUAAAUUCGUUAAGGAUGUUGACGUAAUGGCUUUAAACGA
rnacentral:rRNA from 1 species